rnacentral:tRNA from 1 species
GCUUUCUUAGCUUAGUUGGUAGAGCACCCGCUUAGUAAGCGGGAGGUCGUCGGUUCGACUCCGGCAGAAGGCU